GAGAGGAGGUUGCCCAUUGCUUCUCUGAGGGUGCUUUGGUGGCACCCAAGUCAGGCUGGAGUGGUGGCUUUGGAGCAGCAGGAUAAGGGUUGCUUGAUGUCCAGUUGGUGUUUGGUGGUACAGUGGCUCUAAUAGUAGUCACAGUGGGGACAGUCCUGGCCACUCCUGCCAAGCAAUCAAAGCUGAAGGAGGUGGAGGUGAUGGUGGGACUGAGCAGUGGAGAGGCACCAGAGACCAUCUGCAGAGAGCAUGGGGUUGUCUGUGCAGUCAGCAGUGAACACCAUGAUUGGCCCGGUGGAGAUGGUGAUUUCUGGCUUCCUUUCUAGCAUGAGAUCAUUUGUUGGAUCCCCACCAAGAAAUCAGCACGCCCUCCUGCAAACGGCUCAACCCUGCUGAGGGCAUCUGUGCUGAUUAUUACUGGAGAUGAGCCUCCAAGAAUGCCGAUGGGCUGAUUCUACAGAGAAUCAGAGCCUGGCCACUUGUGGGUGGAUGGGAGAGUAAAUAAAAGGAUGAAGAACUUGGUCAGUCAA